GGCAUGGUUCAAGCAGUAGAGCAUCAUCCUUUCAAGUUCAAGGUUCUGAGUUCAAACCUCAGUUCAGCCA
rnacentral:tRNA from 1 species